CCCGACCAUAGAGCAGACAACAGCCGAAGGCCACCAAUGGGUCUUACCGUCUUCAAUGUAGCGAGAAACUCCCGCACCCGGAGGCGUCCUUCAGCUGGCCCCUAAACAAACAUGCAUAUAUACUAGUUUAGUGAUGAUGGACGUCAUACUAAACUUCGAAUUAUACACAAGAAACUAAAAUUAAAAAUCAUACCAGACUAAAAAAGGCCAAAGACUCCUGACUUGGGACAGGCGCAAAAUUGCGGCGGGGUUAAACAUGUUUUUGAGAUCUAAACUCUCCC
rnacentral:lncRNA from 1 species